AGUGAACGCUGGCGGUAAGCCUAACACAUGCAAGUCGAACGGCAGCACAGGAGAGCUUGCUCUCUGGGUGGCGAGUGGCGGACGGGUGAGGAAUACAUCGGAAUCUACUUUUUCGUGGGGGAUAACGUAGGGAAACUUACGCUAAUACCGCAUACGACCUACGGGUGAAAGCAGGGGAUCUUCGGACCUUGCGCGAUUGAAUGAGCCGAUGUCGGAUUAGCUAGUUGGCGGGGUAAAGGCCCACCAAGGCGACGAUCCGUAGUUGGUCUGAGAGGAUGAUCAGCCACACUGGAACUGGGACACGGUCCAGACUCCUACGGGAGGCAGCAGUGGGGAAUAUUGGACAAUGGGCGCAAGCCUGAUCCAGCCAUACCGCGUGGGUGAAGAGGGCCUUCGGGUUGUAAAGCCCUUUUGUUGGGAAAGAAAUCCAGCUGGUUAAUACCCGGUUGGGAUGACGGUACCCAAAGAAUAAGCACCGGCUAACUUCGUGCCAGCCGCCGCCGUAA
rnacentral:rRNA from 1 species